rnacentral:lncRNA from 1 species
CUAUUAUGCUUCAUAUAGAAGCAUAAAGACACAGAUAGCCAAAACAAUCCUGAACAACAAAAGCACUUCUGUAGGUAUCUCCACAUCUGAUUUCCAGAUGACUACAGAGCCAUAGUGGUAAAAUAGCACAGAACAUACAAAAACAGGCACACCAAUCGAUGGAGUAGACUCAGGGACCCAGAUGAAAGCCCAGAAACACCUGAUUUUGUUUGUUGGUUUGGUUUGGUUUUUCAAGAAAGGGUAGAACCCUGGCUGUCCUGAAACUUGCUUUGUUUUUCUUUUGGUUUUGUUUUGUUGUUGUUGUUUUGUUUGGUUUUUGGAUUUUUCGAGACAGGGUUUCUCUGUUUUGCUUUGUAUACCAGGCCGGCCAAAAUCCGCCUGUCUUUGCCUCUGGAGUGCUGGAAUUAAAAGUGUACACCACCACUGCCUGGCUGUCACCUGUUUUUGACAUGUGUGAAAAGCAUACACAAGAGAAAAGACAACAUCUUUAACAAUGGUGCUGGUGAAACUGGAUCUCAAUGUGUAUGCUUUGGCCUCUUACCCUGAACACAAGUCAAUUCCAAAUGCAUCAAAGACUUCAGUUUUAGCACUGAAACUCUGAAACUUCUAGAAGAAAGAGAAGGGAUUAUACUUCAGGUUAUAGGUUCAGGAGCAUUCUUCUUGACCAGUCUCCCAGGCCAAAACCUUCACCUCUAGGGCUGACCAGGCAGAAGGUGCCAACACUACUCUCUGACCUUCUCAGCAAGUGUUUAGGGCACAAGGAGGACACCAGCCAAGUCACAGGAACAGUGGAGUCCCAGCAUCAGAAACACUCCUGACCUCUGCUCCAAACCUUUGGGCUCAAGGUCACCCCUGCUGAGCAUCAGGGACACCAUGAGGACUCUGGAUUCGAAUCCUGCCCUAAUGGUGCUUUGUGUGGUUCUCGGGAAGUUACAAGUGCGAUUAGCAUACAUUUCUUACUCCGAAAAUGUGAAACUUGUAACAUCCACUUUGUGUGUGCAUGUGUAUACACCUGUGUCGCCGCCAGAGGUCAACUCCAACUGCGGUUUUCAGGUGCCAUCUUCUCUUUUUGUCUGUUUGAAAAAGGGUCAUUGCUUUGCUGGAGCUCACUGAUUUGCCUAGUCUGGCUGGCCAGAGUCCUAGGAUCCUCCUGCCUCUCCCACUCCAGCACCAUGAUUACAAGCACAUGUCACUACACCAGGCUUGACUUUUUUCAGUUCUAGCCAUUGAAUCAAGUCUGCUUGCUCCCAAAACAAGCACUUUACUGAGUGUACUAUCUCCCCAGCCCAACCUGGUUCUUUUUUUUUAAAGUAUCAUUAAUAUUUUCUAGUUAUAUGUGUGUAUAUAUGGGGGUACGUAAAUGUGAGCACAGGUGC